rnacentral:tRNA from 2 species
GGGCUCGUAACUCAGUUUGGCUAGAGUGUCUGGCUUUUAACCAGAAAGCCGUGGGUUCAAAAGCAUAUGGGGUUCCA